rnacentral:rRNA from 1 species
ACGCCUACGGGGGGCAGCAGUGAGGAAUAUUGGUCAAUGGGCGAGAGCCUGAACCAGCCAAGUCGCGUGAAGGAUGACGGCCCUACGGGUUGUAAACUUCUUUUGUCAGGGAGCAAUUGGGUCCACGCGUGGGCUUAGCGAGAGUACCUGAAGAAAAAGCAUCGGCUAACUCCGUGCCAGCAGCCGCGGUAAUACGUAGGGGGCAAGCGUUAUCCGGAUUUACUGGGUGUAAAGGGAGCGUAGACGGUGCGCCAAGUCUGGAGUGAAAUGCCGCAGCUUAACUGCGGAACUGCUUUGGAAACUGG